GAUGAACGCUGACUGAAUGCUUAACACAUGCAAGUCUACUUGAUCCUUCGGGUGAUGGUGGCGGACGGGUGAGUAACGCGUAAAGAACUUGCCUUGCAGUCUGGGACAACGUCUGGAAACGGACGCUAAUACCGGAUAUUAUGAUUGAAUCGCAUGAUUUGAUUAUGAAAGCUAUAUGCGCUGUGAGAGAGCUUUGCGUCCCAUUAAUUAGUUGGUGAGGUAACGGCUCACCAAGACGAUGAUGGGUAGCCGGCCUGAGAGGGUGAACGGCCACAAAGAGACUGAGACACGGCCCUUACUCCUACAGGAGGCAGCAAUGGGGAAUAUUGGACAAUGGACCAAAAGUCUGAUCCAGCAAUUCUGUGUGCACGAUGAAGUUUUUCGGAAUGUAGAGUGCUUUCAGUUGGGAAGAAGUCAGUGACGGUACCAACAGAAGAAGCGACGGCUAAAUACGUGCCAGCAGCCGCGGUAAUACGUAUGUCGCAAGCGUUAUCCGGAUUUAUUGGGCGUAAAGCGCGUCUAGGCGGUUUAGUAAGUCUGAUGUGAAAAUGCGGGGCUCAACCCCGUAUUGCGUUGGAAACUGCUAAACUAUAGUACUGGAGAGGUAGGCGGAACUACAAGUGUAUAGGUGAAAUUCGUAGAUAUUUGUAGGAAUGCCGAUGGGGAA
rnacentral:rRNA from 1 species